rnacentral:rRNA from 1 species
GCAAGUCGAGCGCGCCCUUCGGGGUGAGUAGAGUGGCGCACGGGAGAGUAAUGCAUAGGAACGUACCUUAAAGUUUGGGAUAACCACUGGAAACGGUGGCUAAUACCAGAUGUGGAAGCAAUUCUAAAGGUGGCCUCUAUUUAUAAGCUACCGCUUUAAGAUCGGCCUAUGUCCCAUUAGCUUGUUGGUAAGGUAACGGCUUACCAAGGCUACGAUGGGUAGCUGGUCUGAGAGGAUGAUC